rnacentral:tRNA from 1 species
CAUACUAGCUCAAUUGGUAGAGCAGUCGGCUAUUAACCGAUGGUAAUAGGUUCAAUUCCUGUGUAUAA